GGAUGUAGCUCAGUGGCAGAGCAACAGCUUAGCAUGCAGGAGGCCCUGGGUUCAAUCCCCAGCGCCA
rnacentral:tRNA from 1 species